UACGGAGGGUGCGAGCGUUGUCCGGAAUCAUUGGGCGUAAAGGGCGCGUAGGUGGCGGGACAAGCGUGCGGUGAAAGCCUGGGGCUCAACCCCGGGUCGGCCGUGCGAACUGUUUUGCUUGAGCACUGUAGAGGCAGGCGGAAUUCCGGGUGUAGCGGUGGAAUGCGUAGAGAUCCGGAAGAACACCGGUGGCGAAGGCGGCCUGCUGGGCAGUAGCUGACACUGAGGCGCAGACGCGACGGGAGGGCAAACAGG
rnacentral:rRNA from 1 species